GUCCCACUCUCCUUUCCACCUCCUUAUAGGCCCUCUUUCUCCUCCGCCCCGCCCCCCUUUAGUCUCCCACCUCCCCUGCAGCCUCCUGCCCCUGCCUCCUCACAGCCCCUUACUUACCCUACUGCCUCCCUCCUUGGGCCUCUUCCUCCCCAAAGGCCCCUCUGUUUUCUCCCAUUCCAGCCCCUGACCAGGCCCUGACCCUCUGCUGGGGUCGGGCCCCACACAAUAAGCUUCCUGGGAGCCCUCAUUGCCUUCCUGGUCAACCCGGCCAAAGGCCCCCCCCCCAGCAGCUGCAGCCCUGGAGAUGACAAAACUGAGACACAAAAGAUGAAUCAGCUUGGCCGUGUUCACAGAGCCAGAGUGUGGAAAAGCCAGAAUCCAGACCCAGACCCUGUCUGCAGCGUCCCGGCUCUUACUUCUCACCAGCCACUGCCUCUCAGCUUAGUGCUCUUCCACCCGGCUCUUCUUUCUUAAAAAGACAUUGGCCUAAGGCCGAGGCACAGAAACUGAGAGUGCAUGUGUUCACUCUGGAAAGAUUCCACAGGGGAAUCAGGCCCAUGCCCCUCCCGUCGUCUCCUGUCCCCACGGGCUUUCUUUUCUGCUCUCCUCUGCCCUCUCUGAAAAGGACCCCACAGUUCCAGUGACCCCUGGAGACCAGGCUACAUUCUUCAAGUUUGAUGGAUUUUCUGGUUGGAGAAGCUUGAGAAUUUUAAUUGCUGCAAACAAACUAAUUUCGUUGCUGAACCUGGGGCUGGGUUUGGCUUGGCCGAGUCUUCCAUAAGGAACAAAGGGGAAUGAGAGGUGUGCAUACCUGGUAGUGACUAGAAACCCAAGCCAGACAGACCCUGGACUGAGCAGAUUCAGGAUACAUUCUCAGACACCUCUCCUGUUCUCCCGCAACCCUGACCCCUUACUAGCCCUCUCGCUGGCCCACUUUACUCCCACAGCUGAGACCCUGAGCCAAUAUCCAUCUCCGCCCUUUGCUGUGCUCAUGACCCAGCAUUUGAUGAGUGUCAUUCAUUCAUUCAUUCAACAAACAUUGAGCCUCUACAGUGUGCCAGAUACUAUGCCUUGCUGGUGUUAAAGGGAUAUCCUUGGCUUUGAGAAACUUCCAUCUGCCCAGCAUCCAGCUCAAGGGAGCCCAGAGACCACCUAAACUUUUGUCUGGGUAAUAGAUCCCUCUGUGAACUGAUGACAGCUUUGCACACCUCUGCAGAAAAAUAUACACAUGCACAGUUGUAUAUCUGCGUACACUUGAGGGGUGGCAGCAAUCCCCUGAAGCCCAUUGAUGAUUUAAGGAUCUAUGUACCCCAAGUUACAAACACUUGAUUUCAUUUAACCCUCUCAUAUUACAGAUAAGGAAACUCAGGCCUACAGAGGGAAAUGACUUGUCAAAGGUCAUGCUGUGGGUGAGGGGCUGAGCUAGUCCUAGAAGCCAGGACCCCUGGCUCCCCAGACACUGCUCCACCAGGCCUCCCUGCACCCUUGUCAUCUGGGAAAACCUGGCGAGGGAGCUUGUGUGCCUGGGGCCAGUUUCCUUUUCAGCCUGCCAAACCUAGGGCUGCCAAGCCUAGUCCCUUCUCUACCACCCCCUGGCUUCUCUGGGACAGGGGCCAGUGGUCAGGAGCUUUCUGGACACUUGCUCUGACUCUGACCAUCCCAACCAGUUCCCCUAAGACAUCAAGGGAAAUGUUCUAGAGGAAACAGGAUGUGUUUUCCUGCAAAAUCAUUUGUCUCAUAAGAUGAUUUGCAUACUGGUGGGGACACAAAUGUCAUUCCUGCCCAUUUCCUCCCUAGAGAAAAGGGUUUCCAUCACAGCUUUCUCCUCAAGAGAG